rnacentral:lncRNA from 1 species
CCUUGACUUUGUGAUGAUUUGUUGAGCUUGCUGGACGUGCGCUGUGGGGAUGCGUGGGUGCACGUCGUCAUCCAUGGAGGUGUGUGUCGGUGUUGACAUCUGCAUUGGGUACGCGGAAGAGGGUUCAUUUGAUUGUGAGUUGUCCCACGGUUAGCCUGUCACUCCAGGAGCGGCUGCAGCCCUGCCUCGCUGGACAGUGGGGAUGACAGAGUUUCUGUGACGUUCCUGGGAAGGGGCUUUGCUGCUGGAAUACAAAUGAGGCCAUAUUGACAUUUAUGCCCAGACUCAAAGGCCCCCACCGGCUCUUCUGAAAUGGAUCCAAACUUUUUCUGAAUACUUUUUUGCUCAGGCAUUCCUAAAUAAGCCUAGAGGUGCUUGUACACGUUCACGAAUCAGUCCAGCAUCUGAGCUGUCUGAUAGGUGCCUGUUCCCUUCACUGGUAGAAUAGACCAUCCCCUUUGUAUCUAGACUAUGAUGAUUCCUCAAGAGAAGGAGGAUAUGGAAUCAGGAGUAUCCCACAGAAAAGCUGCCUGGACCCCAAGUGUAACAUCUUACAACUCACCCUUGGAUAAGCCCCUUCCAAUUCACCCCUGGACAAGCCCCUUCCAAUUCACACUUGGGUGAGCCUCUUCCAAUUCACCCUUGGACAAGCCCCUUCCAGUUCACCCUCGGACAGGCCCCUUCCAGUUCACCCUCGGACAGGCCCCUUCCAGUUCACCCUCAGACAGGCCCCUUCCAAUUCACCCUUGGACAGGCCCCUUCCAGUUCACCCUCGGACAAGCCUCCUUUCAAUUAACACUUGGAUGAGCCUCUUUCAAUUCACACUUGGACAAGCUCCUUCCAAUUCACCCUUGGACAAGGUCAUUCCAAUCCACUCCUGGAGAAGCCUCCUUCCAAUUCACACUUGAGUGAGCCUCUUUCAAUUCACCCUUGGACAAGUCCUUUCCAGUUCACACUUGGACAAGCAUCUUUCCAGUUCACACUUGGGUGAGCCUCUUCCAAUUCACCCUUGGACAAGCCCAUUCCAAUUCACCCUUGGACACACACCCUUCCAAUUCACACCUGGGUGAGCUCUUUCAAUCCUUGGACAAGCCCCUUCCAAUUCAUUCAUGGGGAGCCUCUUCCAAUUCACUCUUGGAUAAACCUUUUCCAAUUCACCCUUGGACAGCCCUCCUCCAAUUCACUCUUGAAGAUAUUCUUUCAGUUUACACUCGGGGAGGCCUCUUUCACCAGACACAAAUGGUACCAGGGUUGCUGCAUCCAAAUGGUGUCCCUUAUCACCACUCAGCUGACCCGGAGCCAGCCUUUAGACGGUGGUGUGAACCUUCAGUGCUCAUGGUUCCAGUCUCCCCCAUUUCUUGAGGUGGAUUUCCUCUCAGGAUUCCAGGGUCCUUCCUUUCAAUUCAUCACAUUAGAGAUACCCCAACCCCUCAGGCAUAGUUUCAUAUUUCUGAGCCUGAGGUAAAGGGAGGCAGGGUCUUUGUCCCCUUUCUUUCUGAGGGUAAUCUAUCCCUCUCUAUAUAAAAAUAAUUGGAGCAACUCUGCAGCAUCUGAGCCCCAAAACCGGAUCGUGGAGGGAGACACAGCGUCGGACUCCACAAGGCAGUAGGCGAACACCGCACCUCGAGUCCAUCUGCGUUGCUGCUUGAGGGUAUGGACGAUGUGCGGGAUGGAGGCCCAGAGCUGUUCAUCCCUGCAACCAAUGUUCACGCAACCACCAGGGGGCGAAAGGACUCUAACCCCACACGUAGUGAGUGGUUCCCACGCCACGUUCCAGUAGGAGAAAUGAAGUUCCCGGGGACGGAAGAAGAUGGCAGUCACCUGGUGUGCCCAGCAUGUUUGACCCCCCGAGCAGCUUAUGUUUCAACACCUCUCUCUAUAUAAGAUAGGAUUACUUGCUAUGGUGAUUAUAAAAUGAAACAAAUAAUAGUGAUGGCCAGAAAGGAAACAUUACCAGUGAAAAUUUUUCUUUUAUUGAAUUUCAUAAAUAUAAUUAAAAAAACAAAUGAAUAAAAAUAAAGCAAACAUCAUAAUACAAAAAAGGAAAUAAGGCCUGGUUUUUUUCCCAAGAGUCUAAAAAUCUACAUCUUGGUUUCAACUUUGACGCCUUGGUAACAGUUUGGUGUAAUAUUUUGUGCAAAUAAUUGUCCAGUAACCAAUAAGUAGAUGUUAAUCAAACUGAAUCAUCUACAGAAGAUACGGUUUAGGCAACUACUAAAUCAUUUCAUUUUUGUAAAUUUUAUUUGCUCGAUUUACUUUUGUUUUAAAACAAUUGACAAUGACUACAGAAUACACUUCAUUUUCAAGAUAUUAUUUAAAUUCCACCAAUAGUUGACAUAUGAAGUAAACCAAAUAAAAAUAUUACACCUCCAAAGUGUCACUGUCUCACCGCUCUAAAUUGUAAACAAAAGUUAAAACUUCAGCUGGGCACACAACGUGAAAGAGGGGGUCUGUUGUUGUUGCUGCUUUUGUUUUUAAACACAGGGUCUUGCUCUGUCGCUCAGGCUGAAGUGCAGUGGCAUGAUCUUAGCUCAGUGCAGCCUCAAACUCCUGGACUCAAGUGAGUCUUCCCCUUCAGCCUCCUGAAUAACUAGGAUUACAGACGCAUGCCACCACACCUGGUCAAUUUUUAGAAAUUUUUUUGGUAGAGAUUGGGGUCUCAAUAUAUUGCUGAGGCUGGUCAUGAACUCCUGGCUGGUCAUGUACUCCUGGUCUCAAGCAAUCCUCCUGUCUUGGCCUCCCAAAGUGCUGGAAUUACAGGCAUGAGCCACCAGCAUUCUGGUUCUUGGUCUUUGCUUCUCCAUGCUGCCACAACUGGUUGCAAAUCCCCUGUUAGAGGGGUUAUGCAUAGACUGGAGUGGGAGAUCCAAACUGCACCCCACAGCCUUAUCAAACCCCAUCCACAUAACAGGGAGUUCUCUGAAUUACCUUCCAUGCAGAAUACAAUGUUUAGUAAAGUGAGUAGUAACAAAGGUGCUCUGCUGAAGCUUACAUAUAUAUCAUUAAAACAGUGACUACAGCAGUUGUUUUUGACUGAGACCAAAAAUAAAUAAAUAAACAAAUAGAAAACAAGAUUCUUUUUCACGUGGGAGUAUUUUUUAUUAUUGACAUUGUUUAGGAUUGCUGGCAUAUGAUGAUAAUAAAAAGCAGUUG